CACGCGGUCGUCUUGGCGGCGUUCGUCCCUCGGGUUGACAGCUGAGCCUCUGGGGUUAAGGACGCAACUGGACUUGGGUCGGCUUAGAAUUAGUCCGCCGGGACUCGGCUCUCCGCCUCCCUCAGCUGUGGAGGCGUGGGGAUUGGGGCUCCUUCGCUGGUGGAAGUGAAAUCAUUCCUGCCUUGGAACCCAGGGAUGUCCCAGCCGCCCAAAUAACCGCUCCCUUGGGGCGCCGAAAGAAUGACCUAUGCACUGGAAGUGGCAGAACAAAAAUGGAUGACAGGGAGUUGAUAGCCAAGGUAAAUGAGGACCUAGUGGGAGAGCACCUAGUUGCCCUUGAUGAAUUCAAAUGGAUGCCCAGAUGAAGUACAUCCUCAGAGAUUAGACAACGUAUACUUCAUAUGUAGAACAUCAACCUAAAGCCUUGUUUACCUGAUGGAAGAAUGGUUAUAAAAGAUCUAUUGGAAGCCAUGUAGGCCUCCCUUUCCUAUGGAUGAGAAAAUUCCAGAAGGUACUAUACCUUACAGCUUUGCAUCAUUGGGACAUUUGGUAAGCAAGCCUUGAGUACCUUCAUCUAAAAGCACUAGAGCAAGGCAAAGCCAAGGACAGAGUCUUGUGGCAUGCUUCUAGAGAUCUCCCUCCUGGAUGACAUCUACCCCAUAAUGAACAACACUCUUGGUACGUGUGAUCUGAUUCCCUGAAGCCUAUUUUACUGGCACCUGUUUAUCCAGGUCCCCCUGGCAUAUAAAGGAAUCGUGGAUAAUUGAGUGGACUAAAUGUUGUAGUUGCAUCUUGUCUAAUUACAGUAAUGUUGGUGCUGCUAAGCAAAUAAGGAAUGUUUAAAAUCCUUGUCCUGCUUUAUAGUCCUAUAUUCAAGUGCCAAACUUAAGUUUUGGGAUGGUGUGGAAAGGGUUGAAAAUACAAGAAACUCAGGAGGAGAGACUUGAUAUUUUAUAGUACUACAGGGAGGAGAAUGUGAGGAAAAACAAGCUUUUAGGAUUCCUUUAAAAUACAGAGAAAAAGAUUAAAAGUGAAAUUAUUACCCAAGUCAAUAAAAUAUUUUAAAAUACAAAUUUUUCAUUUCAUUUUAUUCUUAAAGCCUAUUUUUUUUUUUUUAAAUUAAAGGAACUGUCAGGGACAGAAGGGGUAAAAUGUUAAGUAUUUUAUGCUCUACUUAAAGGUAUUCCAAUUAUUUUAAAAGAAAAUAAUUUUUGCACCCCAUGGAGAAUUAGUUUUGCAAUGUCAGACUUAAAAAUAGUGUGAUGAAUGCAAUAAAACAAAGGCUUUUUUUUUUUUUUGCAUGGCACUAAUUUUAGGUUCAAAGAAGUUACUUUUGCAGUUAUAUUUUUUUAAGAAAAAAAUUUAGAUUUAAAAUUGUUUUCAAUAGUCAUGUCUUUAAAUUACAUUUAACAGGAUUAAAUCUAAUAAUGAUAAAUGUGCCAUGUAAUAAUUACUCAAUUUAGAUAAUACCAUUUGCUGCUACAGAUACAUGCUUAUUCAAAUGUUCUCUCUAAACAUAGAUAAUAACUAUUGUUCACCAGCUUAAAAAUAACACAACCUGAAUUUCAUGUUAAGAGGCUAGUUUUCUCUUUUGAACUUCUUAAUUUCUAAAAAUUUUAGUUGCUUCUAAAUGUCAGAUUUCUGAAGGAAGGAAAACCCCCAAAGAUUCUAUUAAAUUAGAAAACUGCACAUGAAAAUAUACCUGGAGUAGUAGGAUGUUAGAGAAAAUUUUUUUCUGACUGCAUUAUACAUGAAAGUCCCCAAAGUCUUAGUGAAAUUUUAAGCUUUAAAAGCAAAAGCAUAAAACUGCAUUGAUUUGGGAAGCUGUAUAUAUUGGUCUCUUUGAAAUCUAUAAAGUUAAAAAAAAUUAUUUCUGUACUACCAAAAUUAAGAUUGAAUUUUUUCCAGUUGUGAUUGGAAAAUUGUGACUUCUAAAAGUUCUAUUUUGUAUUUAAAAAAAAAAAUCUUAAUUUCCUUAUUGUGUGUCCCAUAUGGUUUUGCAUGCCAUGCAGAAAUAUUUCUAAGUGGAUUAAAUAUAUUCUACACAUAUGUAUUCUUGACUUUUAAAAGAGGUUAUCUAGGACUGUACUGAACUUGUCAUAAAAUAUUGGGGCCUGUUUGCAUUUGCCUCAUAGGUAAAGUUUAAGUCAAAUUUUAAGUAUGAAUUAACUUUAAUAAUUUGAUACAUGUUGUUAUGUUGAUUUUCUCUUAUCCCAAGACACAUAGAAAUGUAGUUAAGUUGCUAUAACUCUGGCACAUAAACACAGCAAUGUUGUUAUUGUUUAAUUUCAAAACAUUUGAUAGAUGACAAACUGUUUUUCCAUAUAGAAAAAAUAGGUUUAAACCUAGCAUUAAAAAAAAAAAAAAAAAAAAAAAAA